GACAACCAGGACAGAAGCCUAACAUUUACUACUUUUUCCUGAGCAGUAUUCACCAGUAGUACAGCUACAAUUUGCUUUGGUACACUUUCACCCAGAACUAUCUCCGUUCACUCCAUAACCAACCCCACAUCAGCACUAAACUGAACCCUAAUUUCACAUUCGUAUUCACUUUAAUCCUCCUCAUUUGAGACGCCAGAGAGCGAGCGAGAGAGAGAGAGGGGGGAGAGAGAGGGAGAGAGAGAGAGAGAGAGAGAGAGGACAUGUCAGUCACUGAACUGAAAGAGCGGCACCUGGAAGCUACAGAAACUGUCAACUCUCUUCAAGAAAAAUUGAAGCAGAAGCGCCUUCUUCUCCUCGAUACCGAUGUUGCCGAGUACGCGAGAUCGCAAGGCAAGACUCCUGUUACAUUUGGACCUACGGAUCUGGUUUGUUGCAGGACUUUGCAAGGUCAUAGCGGAAAGGUAUAUUCAUUAGAUUGGACUCCUGAAAAGAAUCGUAUUGUUAGUGCAUCCCAAGAUGGGAGGUUGAUUGUGUGGAAUUCACUCACAAGCCAGAAAACUCAUGCCAUUAAGCUUCCAUGUGCAUGGGUAAUGACGUGCGCGUUCUCUCCAAGUGGACAGUCUGUUGCUUGUGGUGGCCUUGAUAGUGUGUGCUCCAUCUUUAACUUAAAUACUCCCACCGACAAAGAUGGAAAUGUACCAGUAUCAAAGAUGCUAAGUGGUCAUAAGGGAUAUGUCUCUUCAUGUCAGUACGUUCCAAAUGAAGACACUCACCUAAUAACCAGUUCUGGGGAUCAAACAUGUAUCUUGUGGGAUGUAACUACAGGUCUGAGGACUUCGGUGUUUGGGGGUGAGUUUCAAUCGGGGCACACAGGUGAUGUGCUAAGUGUCUCGAUUAACGGAACAAACUCAAGAACCUUUGUCUCUGGCUCUUGCGAUGCUACUGCACGUCUAUGGGACUCCCGUGUUGCAAGUCGAGCAGUUCGGACCUUUCAUGGCCAUGAGGGAGAUAUCAAUUCCGUCAAGUUUUUUCCAGAUGGAAAUAGAUUCGGAACCGGUUCUGAUGAUGGAUCAUGUAGAUUAUAUGACAUCAGAACUGGGCACCAGCUCCAAGUAUAUAAUCAGCGGCAUGCUGAUAAUGAUAUUCCUCCCGUGACUUCGAUUGCAUUUUCCAUAUCAGGCCGACUUCUUUUUGCAGGCUACGCCAAUGGUGACUGUUAUGUUUGGGAUACUUUAUUGGCAAAGAUGGUGUUGAACCUGGGGUCUCUCCAUAAUUCACAUGAAGGUCGAAUAAGUUGUUUAGGGUUGUCAGCUGAUGGGAGCGCCCUAUGUACAGGGAGUUGGGAUACAAACCUAAAGAUUUGGGCUUUUGGAGGGCACAGAAGAGUGAUAUGAAUUUUUUGUUAGUACUUUGUAUAACAAGUCUCUGGACUCUUUAGGCCCUGAUCCAACCAAUCAGCCCUUCUUGGAUGGAGUACCGUAGUGCUUUACAAGGCGUCAUUCGUGUUCUGCUCUCACCAAGUAGAUGCCUCUGAAACACCGCUAUCCAUUAAAAUUUGCCUACAGCGGGUGCCUGUGACUCUGGAGAAUCAAGGAUUAUACAAUGCCUGUCUGGAAUACCAACCUUGUUAUAUACCACUUAAAUGGCUGUAUUCCUGCCCAGAAGAUCCAUGUCUAUAUGCUUCUACAUAUCCGCACUGUAUGAACUAUCCCCCUCAGACAUGUAAUUUGUUGACGGUGAACUCUGCAUAGUCCCUGCUCCGUCACUCAGGCGUUCGAGUGAUACAUUGCCUUCCAAUGCACGAACCACCUGUUACCAAUGAACGUAAUAAUAGAAUUACUCACGUAACAUAUGCAUCUAGAGCUUAGUAGUUAUAUGAGGCUUUCCUACAACAUACAUUUUGGCUCACAAAGCAACUAUAUAUCAGCCUAGAAUGAAAGAUAAUGAACACACACCUGGCUCAUUUUUGGGCGUCUCCUGGCAGACUGUCUGAUGCAUGCAGCAGAACAGGCUAUCAUGCGUAGCAUCUCAUCAGGAUUAUAGUUGUUCUCCAACCUGGGAUCGACCAGCUCGUCGAAGCUUCCACCCUCUACUGCAUCCAUUAGGAUAGGCCUCGCCUGUAGAUCCAUCAAAAAACAAUACAGGACAGAACUACAGAAGUGUAUAAAGCAUUACACUCUAGUUUCACCAAACUAGAUAAGCUUAACCAUAGAGUGGGAGAUUCAUUGUACAUACCCAGUCGACAAGAGUAUCACCUUCUGAGUUGACAUCGACCGGACGCUUUCCGGAUAUCAGCUCCAAGAGCAUAACACCGAAAGAAUAGACAUCAGAUUUCUCCGUCAGCUUUCCGCUUGAUGCGUACUCAGGUGCUAGAUAUCUGCAUUCUCGUGCAUAUACAUUUUACAUCUUUCAAUUGAAGACACACUUGUUAACAAGAGUUCAAUAGUGUCUCUGUAAGUUCAUAUAUGAAUUACUUGGAAUUACCCAAAUGUUCCCAUUAUACGCGUUGAUACAUGAGUAUAGUUGUCAGAAGAGAGCUUAGCCAAUCCAAAAUCUGCCACCUGUUAAGAAAGGAUUGUGUGUAGAGAUUAAUUAUCAAUGGAAGCACUACAUGAUUGUUGCAUCGUA